rnacentral:rRNA from 2 species
AAACUUUCAACAACGGAUCUCUUGGUUCUGGCAUCGAUGAAGAACGCAGCGAAAUGCGAUAAGUAAUGUGAAUUGCAGAAUUCAGUGAAUCAUCGAAUCUUUGAACGCACAUUGCACCCCCUGGCGUUCCGGGGGGUAUGCCUGUUCGAGCGUCAUUA